CAAGCUAUCAGAAAGUUGUAUGGCAACCACCUCCGGCGCCAAAUAGAACUGGCAGACAUAGACAUUCAGUACAAGAAGAAAAAGAUGGAAAAUCUUGCACUGGAGUCCGAAAUAAAAAAGAGGACAAUUAGGAAACUGGACCUUGAAAUAAAAAAACUUGAGAGGGAGCUCCAAGAAGAUGACACAGCUCAAAAUAAAAAUUAGCAAUCAGUACAACCAAGUCAUCGUUAUAAGGCAUCGCCCUCUUUUGCCCACCCCCCCAGCACCAGGUGUGGCCACUAGCCUAUAUGAAGGCCCAAAAUUGUGUGUUCCUUUCUGCUCUGACAAUGGCAUGCCCAUUCGUGCGAGAUGUGGUGGAUGAAGAAGCACUUGUGCUGAGGAGAGCCUUCAGGCGAGAAAGGGUCUUCAGGGACCGGUUGGACCCACUGGCCUUCCCUGAUGACCAUCUAUAUGAAAGAUACAGGUUUUCUGCAGAUGGCAUCAGGUAUCUAUGCAGACUACUGGGUCCCAGGAUUAAGCACCGCACU